rnacentral:tRNA from 1 species
CGGAACAUAGCUUAGUUGGGCAGAGCAGCUGGAUAUAGUCCGGUGAAACGUAGGUUCAAGUCCUUCUGUUCCGA